rnacentral:rRNA from 1 species
GAUGAACGCUGACAGAAUGCUUAACACAUGCAAGUCUUUGGCGAAGCUGUGCUUGCACAGCCUAGCCAAGGCGGACGGGUGAGUAACGCGUAAGGAACUUGCCCUGCAGUCAGGGAUAACAGACGGAAACGACUGAUAAGACCUGGUAAAGUCAGGCGGACUCAUGUCCAGCCUGAUGAAAAGAGAUGCUGCAGGAGAGCCUUGCGUCCUAUUAGCUUGUUGGUGGGGUAACGGCCCACCAAGGCGAUGAUAGGUAGCCGGCCUGAGAGGGUGGACGGCCACAAGGGGACUGAGAUACGGCCCUUACUCCUACGGGAGGCAGCAGUGGGGAAUAUUGGACAAUGGGGGCAACCCUGAUCCAGCAAUUCUGUGUGCACGAUGAAGGUUUUCGGAUUGUAAAGUGCUAUCAGCAGGGAAGAAAAAAUGACGGUACCUGCAGAAGAAGCGACGGCUAAAUACGUG